CCACUGCCACGAGUUGACCAUGCAUUCACUAUGCGCGUUCACAGGGGAAUCACCUGCAUUCCACCACUCAUUUCAAGUCAUUCUAAUUCUCCGGUUGGAAUGUUAUUCAAGAUACAGUAUAUGUAAACAACAUUCUAAAGACUGAUUCAGUACAUCGUUUGAUAUGUUUCUACUGACUGUUACGGAACUUUUGGACAUUUCGCCACGUUAUAGUGGACGCGCUUUGUGACUUUGGAAUUGUUUACCAAACACGCUAAGCAAAGUAGCUAAUUGGACAUAAAUAACGGACAUUUUCGAACAAAUCAAGCAUUUAUUGUGGACCUGGGAUUCCUAGGACUGCAUUCUGAUGAAGUUCAUCAAAGGAACUGAGGAGCUGUUUCUGCAAGGACAGGUCGUACUUCUGGACGGUGAUCGCGACUCCGACUGGGAUCCCCCGGUGCCAAGCUGCCCGCUCUACCUCUGCCCCCAGUGGUGUUCAUAUGCCACGGUUCAUUACUGCAGGCAUGACUGUGCCUCAGGGCCAAAAGGGCACAGCAUGGAGGCAACGUUGUGCUCUGUGUCGCAUGAACUGCACCACUUGUUCAGUUUGCCUCUGCUUUACAUCAGAAAGAGACUGUUAUGGGACAUGGCACAGGCAGCAAAAUAUUGUGUAGAGGACUUCCAAAGGGUUGCCCUCUUGUGUUAUCCAUCAAAAUUAUCUCCAGCAUCCUAUCUGACUGUGUGGCUAUUCUAGUACAUGUGAAAGAUGAUGCUACAACAAUAAAAACAGAAAACGUGUGCUCUUUCUUUCUCUUUUCUUCCACCAGAUCUACUGUGUUAUAUUAUCCUACAUUCAAUUAACAUUUCCACAAACCUCAGAAUGUUUCCAUUCAAAUGAUAC
ensembl:lncRNA